AUUUGUCUGGUUAAUUCCGAUAACGAACGAGACCUUAACCUGCUAACUAGUCACUUUUAUUCUUAUAGAUUUUGACUUCUUAGAGGGACUAUGCGUAUUAAGCGCAUGGAAGUUUGAGGCAAUAACAGGUCUGUGAUGCCCUUAUAUGUCCUGGGCUGCACGCGUGCUACACUGAUGCAUACAACAAGUGCCUAACCAGUCAUGGCUUGGCAAUCUCCAAUAUGUAUCGUGAUGGGGAUAGAUCUUUGCAAUUAUAGAUCUUGAACGAGGAAUUCCUAGUAAGUGCAAGUCAUCAUCUUGCAUUGAUUAUGUCCCUGCCCUUUGUACACACCGCCCGUCGCUCCUACCGAUACCGGGUGGUUCGGUGAACCUUUUGGACCUCUUCGGAGGAAAAAUAAGUAAAUCAUAUCACCUAGAGGAAGGAGAAGUCGUAACAAGGUUUCCGUAGGUGAACCUGCRGAAGGAUCA
rnacentral:rRNA from 1 species